UUUUGAUCGACGUAGAAGCGACAAAGGGAAUUUCAAUCUCUGUUUUCUGGGUUGGUGGACCGUUUUCGCGCCGAGAUCUAAGUCAUCUGGAUUGUGUUGGAAUCGAUUGGCUGAAUUUUCCUUCCCGUAUCGUUAUUCUUCGAUUAAUUGAAGCCUGAGGGGAAUAACAAAGAUUGUAAGGAUUGUCUUAGCUACCACAGGCUUAUCACUUUUCCUGUGAGCCGAUUGCAUCUUUUUGUGGACUUCAGAUCAACUAGAGGAAAAAUGAUGCCCAUUUACAGGUACAUGGACUCACAUCCAUUCCAGAAAAGUUCAACUCCUUUCACAUAUCAAUAUCCGAGCAUGGAAACUGUCCCAUCUCACUCGAUGAUGGAUCCAACUAAAUCAUGUAUGCCACCUCAUGAUUCUGGGCGUAAUUGUUGGCAUUAUGGCUACCCAAUGUCGUCUUAUUCCUGCUGUAAUGGUGGUAAUUUCUUCCCUGGUUGUUACAAUUUUAGACCAUCGCAUCUUCCUGUUCCACCCUAUCAGCAUAUGCACUGCUAUGGUGGCUAUCCACACUGCCCCGAACCGUAUUAUGUUCAAUAUGUUCCUCCCACGCAUUAUAAUGUAGAGCAGCCAAGAUAUGAGUUUGACAAGAACAUGAUGAGGAAUCAUCACUGCUGUGGCUGUCCUAAUAGUUUGUGUGGUCAGAACCGGAAGGAAGAUAAAUGUGUGAAGAUUGAGGAGGAGAAACCGGAAAAUCAAAGGAAGGGGUCAUUGGUUCCAUUUCAAUUAGGAAAUAUCCAGUCCCCAAUUGUGUGGAUUCCACCUGACUAUGUGGGGAGCGAAAAAGAGAAAGAACCUUCUGAAACUGGUAAUGUGAAGCAGGAGAAGGAACGUCAGGGUUUGAAUUUGAUGGAUAAUUUGGAAUCUGUCGAACAGGCUCCGAAGUUCUGUAGUGGUUGGCCUCUGUCUGAUUUGAGUCGCCUCAGGUCAUUGUUGCCUGAUUCAGCAGGCAUGGGGGCCCAGAAUGUGCAAAAUAAGCAACAGGAGGACAGAAUAGAAGAGCUUCCCUUUCCUGUUAUUUGGAUGCCUGCUUUUGGUAGAGAGGAAACUGCUAGAAAAGCUGAUGUUCAUGAUAUGGAUGCUCCUGCACGACCUAGUAAUGAGCCUUCUAAUGCCGGAAAGCUAGUACCAGUAAAUAUCUUGAAAAAGGAUGAUGCUACAAGUGAGGGCCCUGAUGUUGUGAAGACUGUAAAUCAGAUUGAUAUUCCUGAAAUGGAUAUGAACCACAAGACUGAAGACGCCAAGAAAAAUAAAGAAAGGAGAUGCAUUCCAGUGGAGGCUGUCAAAGAUGAUGAGGAAAGGGAAUUGUCUAGAAAUAAUCUGAAAGGACGGUCUUCUUCAUCCUCGCCAAAGAAAUCAAGAUUACCCCCUGUUUGUCUCAGAGUGGAUCCUCUUCCAAAGAAAAAAAAUGGCAACGGCAGUUCAAGAUCUCAGAGUUCUCCGAAAUCAACUGCCGUGAAGGAAAGUUCUCAAUUGGAUUCGAAGAUCAAUAAUGUUACUGGAGAGCCAGAUGGUGAGAAGAUCAUCAAGACAGUAGAGGUGAAAACCCAUCAAACCGCUGAUGGUAAUCAAGUGCACAAGGAGGAUGUUUCUAGCGCUGGAGAGCCACUAAGCUUGCCAACACAGCCUCAAUCUCAAGAGAAGUCUUUCGACAAGCUCUGCAAGGAAGAAGAAGAAAGCCCAAGUAAAGAAUAUAGGGAGAAAGAUGAAACAAUGACCAAGGCAUCUCCCGAGAAGGCAGUUGAUGAAGGGUUGGAGGUAAGUUCAGGGGACUUGACUCAGGAAGAAGGGAAAUGCGAAAAACCUAGCUUAUCGGAUGUUGAAGCUGCCAUGCUCAUUCAGUCAGCUUACCGUGGCUAUGAAGUCAGGAAAUGGGAUCUUCUGAAAAAGAUGAAGCAACUUGCUGAAGUUCGUCAAAUGGUCGUUGAGGUUCAAAAUCGUGUGAAAGCUCUGGAAUUAGCUCCUCAAGAUGAGAAAGAACGAAUGUUUGUUGGAGAAAUGAUAAUGAGACUGUUGCUACAACUUGACACCAUACAGGGUCUGCAUCCAAGUAUAAGGGAGCUUCGAAAAUCUUUGGCAAAGGAACUUGUAGCUCUUCAGGAAAAACUUGACUGCAUGGUGAUUAACAAGCCUACAGAAGUAGUACCGGAAGCCUCCAUGGAAAGAGCUACUGAACAUUUUGAAAUGGAAACCCAUGACGACAUAAAGGAGGAGGAGCAACAGAAAGAUGUAGUAUCAAUUGGUGAAAUCUUUCCCAAGGAGGUAAAUGAAAGCAAUAGUCUUUUGGGAGAGUCACAUGGAGCUCAACCUCUUGGCGGAAUUGAUGAUAUGGCUGGCUCUGAAGGCAUGAAGGCCCCCACAGACGAAGAGCUUAGGCUAACAGCGGAUGGACCUGGUGAGUUACAAGAAGUAGAUGAUCAGAAUACCACCGUGUCUCAUAAUGAAGAUACCUCUGAAUUGUCCUCUCAAACCUUGUCCGACCAGAUCGAGGGCGAAAAAGUUAUGCCUUCGUUGGUGGGGGAUAAAAGAGCAGAUGAGGCUGAAUCAAUGGCUGAGAUGGAACAGAAUGUGAAGGUGAUGAAUGAUGCAGAGAAAAAUGUAGGUGAAGUUCUUCGAAUGGACAUGAACGAAGAAUCUUUAGACCAUCACCAAUAUUCUUCAGUAGGUGGGCAUCCUGCAGGAGAUUGUUCGGAAGUUCAUGUAUUGAACCCCCAUUCUGAUGAUCAAGUGGGAGCACAAGCAGGACAAGCGCCUGCAGCACUUGAUGAGAUAACCAUUUCAACACCUUACGAAAAUGGACAAACUGGAGACCAAUCGGCUUCUGAUAUGGAACUGCCAAUGAGAGAGGAUGACAUUCCAAAUAAAACCGAAGCUGACAAGCUUGAGCACAUUGAGAUGAGGAUAGAGGUAUCAGAGGCUGAAGAGAAUGCACGUGAUUUAGCAGCCGAACUAGAUAGUGAUAGAACCACUACUGAGAAGGAAGGAGCACCUCAUGAGUCUGCAGCACUGCCAGGGGAGCAAUCAAACUCUAAUGACGACCUGAACAUCCAAAACGAGUCAGUAACUGGUAAACACGAACAAGAGACAGCAAAUGAGGUGGAGAAAGUCCUCGAAGACGCGCAACAUCAGCCCAUACCAUCCAGUGAGAUGGACAACCAGCCUAGCCGAGCAUGUGAUGAAUCUGCAGAAUCGCCUGAGGAACUAUCACAAUCCUACCACGUCGAGAACAUCCAAAACGAGACGGUAACUGAGAAAAAUGAACAAAGAACUGCAGAUCUGAACAAUAAAAUGGCAGAAGGCAUGCUGCUAGACCUAUUUGUACUUGAUCCUGUGCCAUCCAGCAAGUUAGACAACCAGGGCAACGAGUUACAUGCUGCUGGGGAAGCAACUUCUAUUAAGAUGGGUGAAGUGUCACUACCUGCAUCACCAAAUGGACACCGAGAGAUGAUCGAUAAGGAUGAUUUGGUAAGUGACAGAGAGAUGGACAAAAAACUGGUUGAAGAAAAUGAGAAAAUGAGAGAGAUGGUGGAGAAGUUGAUGGAGGCUGGCAAAGAACAGAUAGCCAUCAUAUCUAAACUGAGUGGAAGAGUGAAGGACUUGGAGAAAAGGCUUGCAAGGAAGAAGAAACAAAGGCGAGGAUGUGCUAUGUCUGUAUCAAAGUCAAGACAUCCUAUGUUGAAUGGUCGCAUAAAAGCUUGAAAGGCUCCGGGAUCUGCAUUACUUUGUGGUAUCUCAAUUGUAAGGAAAUAAAGUUCUCAAAUUCAAGUAAAUGGGAGAGAUGGAAUAUAUGCAUAUUUGUGAUGGCAUCCCUUCAUCUCGCUGUAAGUCUUUGUGGUAUAAAAACAAAAUGCAUCUCUGUUAUCG
rnacentral:misc_RNA from 1 species